GUAAAACUGGACCUCCAGGAUGCAUACCUCACGAUACUGAUCACUGAGGAAUGCCACCAUUUACUUAAAUUCCAAUGGAAAAAGACGAUAUGGCAGUUCCGAUGCCUCCCUUUCGACCUCUCCUCAGCCCCGUGGUGCCUCACCGAACUACUGAAAGUGGUAGUCCCCCUUCUCCGGAGCAGAGGUGUACGUAUGAUCAUAUACCUCGACGACAUGCUGAUCAUGGCCCACGACAUCUAUC